UACGUAGGGGCCAAGCGUUGUCCGGAUUUAUUGGGCGUAAAGAGCUCGUAGGCGGUUCGGCAAGUCAGCUGUGAAAUCUCCACGCUCAACGUGGAGGGGUCAGCUGAUACUGCUGUGACUUGAGUCCGGUAGGGGAGUGUGGAAUUCCCGGUGUAGCGGUGAAAUGCGCAGAUAUCAGGAGGAACACCGGUGGCGAAGGCGGGUCUCUGGGCAGUAACUGACGCUGAGGAGCGAAAGCGUGGGGAGCGAACAGG
rnacentral:rRNA from 1 species